UAGCAAGUGCAGUUGGAAAAAGAGAUUCUGUGGCUUGUGCACAGUGUUGUUCUGAUCCAAUUAAGAACUCAACAUUGAUCCCAUGCAACGGUUACCUAUGCAAUCAGAAUCCUAAACCAGCAGGAUCAACUUGUGGGGUGUGUGACAGGGUCAGUGAUCCAAAAGAUUGCUCUGUUGACCAACAAUGCCAACCAAAUGAGGUUUGCAAGGUCAAUACCCUCUUUACUGGUGGUGCUUUAAAGUAUGAACUUGGGUGUGAGCUUAAAACUAUAUGUGAUAAAAUUUUAAAAGAAUAUAGAAGCACUCAUACUACAGUGGCUACAGGUAGAAGAGCCGACCACGGAGAUCUUACGCUAUGCUCUGCCUGCUGUGAUACUUUAAGUUGUAACAAAGAGCAAUGCUCUGACGUUAUUAAAACUCAGACAUGUCACAACUCAACUAUUUGUGGUUAAGAAACACAAGGAAGGAUUGAUUACACAAACAUACUGCAAUAGUUUAACACUG